AGUGCAGUCUUAGAAAUGAGGAAGCUACGCUGUCUGCUCAGACUCACCACUCUGGUAUGAACUGAAUCUUCUCCAACUCCACGUCUCCUGUGAAAUUGGCUAAUAAUUGCUGCAAUCGACUUAGGUCACCGCGAUUUGGGAAGACUCUGGGGCGUUCCACGGGCGAGGCAAGAUGGGAGUGAGUCAACUCUUCUCGUAGCCAGUGAGACCAGCUUAGGAGUCACCAUGAAACAUCCUUCUUGGAGAGCCUGGUUCCAGGAAGACCUGCCUCUGGGCUUCCAUGGGGAGCCUGGAGCAGCUAAAUCAGUGCACUGACCCAGGAGCGGACUUCACAAGAACAGUGUGAUCCUGGAACAGGCUGGGAACAGGCUCCCUGCAGAGCCAGCACAGAGUUUGAAGCUCAGGAAGAACCAGGAGAAUAGGAGCAUCCUCUAGAGAUGCUGUCAGUGACAGCUAGUACCCCUAAAUCCAAGUAGGACCGAUUUGGUGACAAGAUAGGCAACAGUAUAGAAAGCGAGUGACUUAGAAGUGUGGAAGGUCCCAGAACAUGCCAGAAAUUCAUAGUGGAGUCUCCCUGAAGAUGUUUGAAAGCCAUUUACAGUGGUGCUAUCCGGGCAGUCUGACCCACAUGGCAGAGCUUCAUUUCCCAUAGAGCCUCCAGCUAUGCAGACCAGCAGCAAUCCCCUCUGCUGAUACCUUGAUUAAACUCUAAAGGUCGUGAGGCCAAACACCACAGCCUGAGUCUAGUAACUUAAAAGGAAACAAAUAAAUAAGCCCUUUCCAAACAUGAGCUCGGAGCACAGCCUUUAAGCAACUUCAGCCAUGACUCAGAGAAGUGUGAACCCGGCCAAAGGAGGAAGAAAAACCUGAAAUCAUCCUGGAUGCAUGUUCUCCAAUGGCUCGAGAGUUUUCGAUUACCUCAGUUUCCUGACAAGGCUUUGCUGAUGUCAGUAACUUACAGUAACCAUCACAAGAUAAGAGAGAGGACUUGGCAAAUGUUAUCAGCCUACGUUGUCCCAGAGCGUGAAGCCUACAGAUCACACAGGCCUUGGGCUUGGCUGAUAGUGAGCUUUGCUAUCUCAGGGUCAACACCGAGAGUUUAACUUUCCAUUGUACGGGGCUGAGUCUGUAGCUCCACAGGCUUUCUCUGGACGUCUUUUCUGA